CCUACGGGAGGCAGCAGUGAGGAAUAUUGGUCAAUGGACGAGAGUCUGAACCAGCCAAGUAGCGUGAAGGAUGACUGCCCUAUGGGUUGUAAACUUCUUUUAUAUGGGAAUAAAAUGUUCCACGUGUGGGAUUUUGUAUGUACCAUAUGAAUAAGGAUCGGCUAACUCCGGGCCAGCAGCCGCGGUAAUACGGAGGAUCCGAGCGUUAUCCGGAUUUAUUGGGUUUAAAGGGAGCGUAGGAGGAUUGUUAAGUCAGUUGUGAAAGUUUGCGGCUCAACCGUAAAAUUGCAGUUGAAACUGGCAGUCUUGAGUACAGUAGAGGUGGGCGGAAUUCGUGGUGUAGCGGUGAAAUGCUUAGAUAUCACGAAGAACUCCGAUUGCGAAGGCAGUUCACUGGACUGCAACUGACACUGAGGCUCGAAAGUGUGGGUAUCAAACAGGAUUAGAUACCCUUGUAGUC
rnacentral:rRNA from 1 species